AGGAUGUUUUCAUUAAUCAAGAACGAAAGUUGGGCGCUCGAAGACGAUCAGAUACCGUCCUAGUCUCGUGCAUAAACGAUGCCGACCAGGGAUCGGCGGAUGUUGCUUAUAGGACUCCGCCGGCACCUUAUGAGAAAUCAAAGUCUUUGGGUUCCGGGGGGAGUAUGGUCGCAAGGCUGAAACUUAAAGGAAUUGACGGAAGGGC
rnacentral:ncRNA from 1 species